rnacentral:rRNA from 1 species
CUUCUGCCACCGAAUACAUUAGCAUGGGAUAAUGGAAUAGGACCCUGUCCUCCUAUUUUGCGUGUUGGUUUUCGAGGACCGGGUAAUGAUUAAUAGGGAUAGUUGGGGGCAUUAAUAUUUAAUUGUCAGAGGUGAAAUUCUUGGAUUUAUGAAAGAUUGACUUCUGCGAAAGCAUCUGCCAAGGAUGUUUUCAUUAAUCAAGAACGAAAGUUAGGGGAUCGAAGACGAUCAGAUACCGUCGUAGUCUUAACCAUAAACGAUGCCGACCAGCGAUUAGGAGACGUUGAAUACAAAACACCACCGUCGGGUCGGCCGUCCUUGGCCGUCGUGCGCGGCGACGCGCGCGGCGGCGAGGGCGGUGUCUGCCCGACGGCCCGGUGAAUGACUCCCCUAG